rnacentral:lncRNA from 1 species
AAAAAAAAAGGAAUAGAGUGUGCCAACAGCUUAGAUAUAGAGUGUGAGAGAGAAGAGUGGAGGCUGGUUCUCAGGCUCCAGAAGCAUAAGCCUGCAUGGAGCAUAGCGUCACUGAGCAAGACAGGUGUGGAGGAUGAGAAGCGGGCCACAGGAUGGGAAGGGAAUCUGUGUGGAGGCGGUGCCCUAAACAUGCUGCCUUGAGGAGGGACCUCUACAUGGGGUGGCCGGGCACAGCCAGGCUACCCAUGGGGACCUCAACAGCUUUGCCAUUGCACACUAUCUUUGCAGACAAGAUCUUAAUCACAUCCAACUUUCUGCAGUUGCACAGGGUACCUCAGACCCACAUCCCAGAUGACAUUCCUCAGAAGCUCGCAGCUGGAGAUGACAUCACCUUAGACAACAUCACCCUAGCCCAAGACAUCGCUAUUAGAGAUACAUCACCUGGACACUAAAGCCUCCAACCCAGUGACACUCUCAAGGUGCUGACAAAAUGGACAUGGACAUUUGUUGCUUUUCUUCUUUUGAAUUAGGAACUCUAUUGUGUUUCCUGAAUUUACUGUCUGCUUGGCCCAUGAUCCUGGUAUGUUCCUUGCUCUCUGCCAAAACAUGCACCGUCCCCUCCACACCUAAAGGAAAACCUGGUAGAAGCUACUACUCUCAAUGCCAUUCUAAAAUUGACGAAGAGUAUUAUUUUCCCCAAGAGGCAGCUGCUGCAGGCCAGUGAAUCCUCUGGACCCUGGGGAGAGGGUCAUACACUCCCUAGUGACUUCUACUGUAUGCUCCAGCUUUCCACCAGGACCUCCUGCCCUGUCCCCAACUGUAACGACCACAACCACCCCAUCCCCUUGGUUACACACAAAUAUCACCAGUCUUUACAUGUACUUUACUGACUUCUCAGAUAAUACCCUCCAACAAGAUAACUGCAGGACUUGCCACCAUGACCUGAGAAAUACACCAAGAUAUUAUUGUCCAAUUUUUUUGAGAUAUAUAUAUAUUUCUCAUACUUUUAACAUACUCUGCAAUCCACCAAGAUAUUGGUAGAGACCCUGGAAAUUUCAAAUCUAUUUCGUCUGCUAAUGCCAUGUGAAUGGGAAACUUAGAUACAGGCUGGCCUACAAGGACUCCUUAUACUUCAAUUUUUGUUCCUCCUUUCAACUCUCAUAAAAAAUAUUUUCUGUAC